rnacentral:rRNA from 1 species
AUUGAACGCUGGCGGCAUGCCUUACACAUGCAAGUCGAACGGCAGCACGGGAGCAAUCCUGGUGGCGAGUGGCGAACGGGUGAGUAAAGUAUCGGAACGUGCCCGGUCGUGGGGGAUAACGUAGCGAAAGUUACGCUAAUACCGCAUACGAUCUAGGGAUGAAAGCGGGGGAUCGCAACACCCCGCGCGAUUGGAGCGGCCGAUAUCAGAUUAGGUAGUUGGUGGGGUAAAGGCUAACCAAGCCGACGAUCUGUAGCUGGUCUGAGAGGACGACCAGCCACCAUGGGACUGAGACACGGCCCAGACUCCUACGGGAGGCAGCAGUGGGGAAUUUUGGACAAUGGGCGAAAGCCUGAUCCAGCCAUGCCGCGUGCAGGAUGAAGGCCUUCGGGUUGUAAACUGCUUUUGUACGGAACGAAAAGGUUUGGCCUAAUAAGCUGAGCUCAUGACGGUACCGUAAGAAUAAGCACCGGCUAACUACGUGCCAGCCGCCGCGGUAA